GACGAACGCUGGCGGCGUGCUUAACACAUGCAAGUCGAACGGUGAUCUUGAGAGCUUGCUCUUGGGUGAUCAGUGGCGAACGGGUGAGUAACACGUGAGUAACCUGCCCCUGACUCUGGAAUAACUUCGGGAAACCGAAGCUAAUACCGGAUAUGACACAGAGCCGCAUGGUUUCUGUGUGGAAAGUUUUUCGGUUGGGGAUGGACUCGCGGCCUAUCAGCUUGUUGGUGAGGUAAUGGCUCACCAAGGCGACGACGGGUAGCCGGCCUGAGAGGGCGACCGGCCACACUGGGACUGAGACACGGCCCAGACUCCUACGGGAGGCAGCAGUGGGGAAUAUUGCACAAUGGGCGAAAGCCUGAUGCAGCGACGCCGCGUGAGGGAUGAAGGCCUUCGGGUUGUAACCUCUUUCAGUAGGGAAGAAGCGCAAGUGACGGUACCUACAGAAGAAGCACCGGCUAACUACGUGCCAGCAGCCGCGGUAAU
rnacentral:rRNA from 1 species